rnacentral:rRNA from 1 species
UACGUAGGGUGCGAGCGUUAAUCGGAAUUACUGGGCGUAAAGCGUGCGCAGGCGGUUCUCCAAGUCCGUUGUGAAAGCCCCGGGCUCAACCUGGGAAUGGCAGUGGAAACUAGGGGACUUGAAUCUGGCAGAGGGGGGUGGAAUUCCACGUGUAGCAGUGAAAUGCGUAGAGAUGUGGAGGAACACCGAUGGCGAAGGCAGCCCCCUGGGCUAACACUGACGCUCAUGCACGAAAGCGUGGGGAGCAAACAGG